rnacentral:rRNA from 1 species
UACGUAGGGGGCAAGCGUUGUUCGGAAUUACUGGGCGUAAAGGGCGCGUAGGCGGCCCGCUAAGUCGAACGUGAAAUCCCCGAGCUCAACUCGGGAACUGCGUCCGAUACUGGCGGGCUUGAAUCCGGGAGAGGGAUGCGGAAUUCCAGGUGUAGCGGUGAAAUGCGUAGAUAUCUGGAGGAACACCGGUGGCGAAGGCGGCAUCCUGGACCGGCAUUGACGCUGAGGCGCGAAAGCUAGGGGAGCAAACGGG